AACGAACGCUGGCGGCAUGCCUAACACAUGCAAGUCGAACGAGACCUUCGGGUCUAUUGGCGCACGGGUGCGUAACGCGUGGGAACCUGCCCUUAGGUUCGGCAUAACUCCCCGAAAGGGGUGCUAAUACCGGAUAAUGUCUUCGGACCAAAGAUUUAUCGCCUUUGGAUGGGCCCGCGUUGGAUUAGCUAGUUGGUAGGGUAAAAGCCUACCAAGGCGACGAUCCAUAGCUGGUCUGAGAGGAUGAUCAGCCACACUGGGACUGAGACACGGCCCAGACUCCUACGGGAGGCAGCAGUGGGGAAUAGUGGACAAUGGGAGAAAGCCUGAUACAGCAAUGGCGCGUGAGUGAUGAAGGCCUGAGGGUUGUAAAGCUCUUUUACCCGGGAUGAUAAUGACAGUACCGGGAGAAUAAGCGCCGGCUAACUCCGUG
rnacentral:rRNA from 1 species